rnacentral:rRNA from 1 species
GACGAACGCUGGCGGCGCGCUUAACACAUGCAAGUCGAGCGAGAACCAGACCUUCGGGUCUGGGGACAGCGGCGAACGGGUGAGUAACACGUGGGUAAUCAACCCUCGGUACUGGGAUAGCCCGGGGAAACCCGGAUUAAUACCGGAUGGCCCUUCGGAUCUUCGGUUCUGAAGGAAAAGGUAGCUUCGGCCUCCGACCGAGGACGAGCCCGCGGCGGAUUAGCUUGUUGGUGGGGUAACGGCCUACCAAGGCGGCGAUCCGUAGCUGGUCUGAGAGGACGAUGAGCCACACUGGGACUGAGACACGGCCCAGACUCCUACGGGAGGCAGCAGUGGGGAAUCUUGCGCUAAUGCGGGAAACCGUGACGCAGCGACGCCGCGUGAGGGAAGAAGGCCUUCGGGUUGUAAACCUCUUUCAGGAGGGACGAAGCUACUCGGGUUAAUAGCCCAGAGGGUGACGGUACCUCCAGAAGAAGCCCCGGCUAACUACGUGCCAGCCGCCGCGGUAAAAC